rnacentral:rRNA from 1 species
UGGGGAAUUUUGGACAAUGGGCGAAAGCCUGAUCCAGCAAUGCCGCGUGUGUGAAGAAGGCCUUCGGGUUGUAAAGCACUUUUGUCCGGAAAGAAAUCCUUGGCUCUAAUACAGUCGGGGGAUGACGGUACCGGAAGAAUAAGCACCGGCUAACUACGUGCCAGCAGCCGCGGUAAUACGUAGGGUGCAAGCGUUAAUCGGAAUUACUGGGCGUAAAGCGUGCGCAGGCGGUUUGCUAAGACCGAUGUGAAAUCCCCGGGCUCAACCUGGGAACUGCAUUGGUGACUGGCAGGCUAGAGUAUGGCAGAGGGGGGUAGAAUUCCACGUGUAGCAGUGAAAUGCGUAGAGAUGUGGAGGAAUACCGAUGGCGAAGGCAGCCCCCUGGGCCAAUACUGACGCUCAUGCACGAAAGCGUGGGGAGCAAACAGGAUUAGAUACCCUGGUAGUCCACGCCCUAAACGAUGUCAACUAGUUGUUGGGGAUUCAUUUCCUUAGUAACGUAGCUAACGCGUGAAGUUGACCGCCUGGAGAGUACGGUCGCAAGAUUAAAACUCAAAUGAAUUGACGGGGUCAUAGCUG